rnacentral:rRNA from 1 species
GACGAACGCUGGCGGCGUGCUUAACACAUGCAAGUCGAACGGAAAGGCCCUGCUUUUGUGGGGUGCUCGAGUGGCGAACGGGUGAGUAACACGUGAGUAACCUGCCCUUGACUUUGGGAUAACUUCAGGAAACUGGGGCUAAUACCGGAUAGGAGCUCCUGCUGCAUGGUGGGGGUUGGAAAGUUUCGGCGGUUGGGGAUGGACUCGCGGCUUAUCAGCUUGUUGGUGGGGUAGUGGCUUACCAAGGCUUUGACGGGUAGCCGGCCUGAGAGGGUGACCGGCCACCUGGGGCCUGAGAGACGCAGCAGACGGCAACGGGGGGCAGCAGUGGGGAAUAUUGCACAAUGGGCGGAAGCCUGAGGCAGAAACGCCGCGUGUGGGAUGACGGCCUUCGGGUUGUAAACCGCUUUCGCCUGUGACGAAGCGUGAGUGACGGUACUGGGUAAAGAAGCACCGGCUAACUACGUG